GGCCUGUUAGCCCAGUUGGUUAGAGUGUGGUGCUAAUAAUGCCAAGGCCGUGGGUUCGAUCCCCAUAUAGGCCA